UAAGCCUACGGGGGGCAGCAGUGAGGAAUAUUGGUCAAUGGGCGGGAGCCUGAACUAGCCAAGUCGCGUGAGGGAAGACGGUCCUAUGGAUUGUAAACCUCUUUAGGCGGGGAGCAAUGCCGGGCACGUGUGCCCGGAGGGAGAGUACCCGCAGAAUAAGCAUCGGCUAACUCCGUGCCAGCAGCCGCGGUAAUACGGAGGAUGCGAGCGUUAUCCGGAUUUAUUGGGUUUAAAGGGUGCGUAGGCGGGCUGUUAAGUCAGCGGUAAAAGCCCGGGGCGCAACCCCGGCGAGCCG
rnacentral:rRNA from 1 species